rnacentral:misc_RNA from 1 species
CUAAAAUCAAAAUGGCUCCUCAUCGAGGAACAACAAUCGUUCAUACAGAAUUUCCACUUUAUACCGUACGUGCCCUAGGUGAUCGUCAUUUUAUGGUGGCGGGAGGAGGAGGAACUGCUAAGACGGGUGUUAAGAAUGCUAUUGAAAUUUAUGAAAUUAAGAAUGCAGAAGGAGAACUCCACUCAGAAAAGUUGGGCCGCCAUGAAACAACUGAUGCAGUUAUGAACAGUGCAUGUAUUUGCAACACUAAGAACUAUGUGCUGGCAGCUGGGAUGGAAGACAAAUGUGAAAUAUUUAACCUACGAUACAAAAUUAUGUUUCAGUCUAAAAAUCCAGAUGGAGACACUGUGGUUAGGAAAAGGAAGAGCAAUCUGACGAAAGCUCAGGACAUCAAAGAUGCUGAGCGUUCUAUUAAAUUUGAAGUUGAGCACCUGAACUCAGUGACAACAGACUUCCAUAGCAAAGGUGGCUACCAGAAAGUUGUUGCGUUCAAUCUGGAGGGAACACUCAUGGCAACUGGGGGAGGAGAUGGACAUCUCAGGGUUUGGGAGUAUCCCAAAUUGAAGAAAGUGUGUGAUGUAAAGGCACAUAACCAGGAGAUUGAUGAUCUGGACAUUAGCCCACAACAAAAUAAGGUUGUGACCCUCUCUAAAGAUAACAAUGCAUUUAUAUGGGACAGUAGGAAAGGAAACAAAAUAUGUCCACUCAAGUGGACUCAAAAUACAGGAGAUACAAAAUACAGAUAUAGAAACUGUAGAUAUGGCCUUAUAGAGGGAGCAAGAGAUAAGUUCAACCUCUACACGACACAUAUACCUGUAGUCAGGGGAACUAAACCGCCAAAUUGUUACCUCACAAAGUGGGAGACCAAGAACUACACACCUUGUAAGAUAGUCAGCACUGGUCAGGCAGUCACUUCAGCAUUAGCAGUCAGCUCAGAUGGUACCUACCUUGGACUAGGGACAUUAUCUGGAGAUGUAGGGGUCUAUAUCUCAUAUAGUUUACAGAAAUUAUAUUAUGUAAAAGAGGCUCAUGGUAUAUUUGUUACGGGACUAGACUUUUUCCCAUCCUCCGAUUCAACACGUGCAAUAAUGGGUGACCAUGACGUAAACCUGCUCAGUAUCUCCGCGGACAACCAAGUCAAAGUUCAUCAGGAACCCACCAGAGCCAGUUACAGUGCAUUCUGGGUGCUGCUAGGUUUCCUUGCCAUCAUAUAUGCCAUCUUUUGGACACUCACUGUACUUGGAUUGUGAUAUCAAAGGACAUUGCACAAAACUGUGAUAUUAUUACUAAGACAGGUGUAUGCUGUACAGUAUUCUACAGUUCUGGAUUUUAUGCCAGUGGUUCUUGUAUGAAUGCUAAUGAGCAUUCAUUUAGCUAGGUAUAAAUCUGGUGUACUUCUUCCAGUGGUUGGAACAUUCACUAUUUAGACUUUGAAACAAAAUGCCAAAUUAUUCCAACAUAACAAAGUUUCCUCCACAUGGUUUCAACUAACUGCAUAAAGUUUUAAUAUAUUUCUUAAGGUGAAGUAGCCUACCUUCUAAAGGUAAAUUUGUUGAUAUUUAUUUAACUCUGUACAAGAUUAGAUUAUAUUUUUGUGAAGAAUAGUUUAAUUGAUGUAAUCCAGAAUGUCUUAACAUUCUGGAAUAACUGACAUAUGAUAUGCCUAAAUAAUAUUGUCAGUUUAAUUUGAAUUGUUUUU